GUCCGUCGACCAUACACGGGCCGACGUCGCAGUUCUUCCCAAGUGCAGGAUACGAUCUAGCUACUGCGUUCGGCCAUACUGGAAUGUUUAGAGGGACAGCACCAGUUGGCGGACCGUAUCCAGGGAUGGUACCGGGGUCACAGAUACCGGCGUACACAGGAUUCUACCCCGAUGCGGGCGCCGGACUUUCUUCUUCCUCCUUUCGACCUGAUAACGAGACA